GUGGUAACGCAUGCUGGACGUAUCAGAAGUGCGAAUGCUGACAUGAGUAACGAUAAAGGGGGUGAAAAACCUCCUCGCCGGAAGACCAAGGGUUCCUGUCCAACGUUAAUCGGGGCAGGGUAAGUCGACCCCUAAGGCGAGGCCGAAAGGCGUAGUCGAUGGGAAACGGGUUAAUAUUCCCGUACUUCUUACAAUUGCGAUGGGGGGACGGAGAAGGCUAGGUGGGCCUGGCGACGGUUGUCCAGGUUCAAGUGUGUAGGCUUGAGAGUUAGGUAAAUCCGGCUCUCUUUAAGGCUGAGACACGACGUCGAGCACCUACGGGUGUGAAGUCAUUGAUGCCAUGCUUCCAGGAAAAGCCUCUAAGCUUCAGAUUGUAAGGAAUCGUACCCCAAACCGACACAGGUGGUCGGGUAGAGAAUACCAAGGCGCUUGAGAGAACUCGGGUGAAGGAACUAGGCAAAAUGGUACCGUAACUUCGGGAGAAGGUACGCUCUUGAUGGUGAAGUCCCUCGCGGAUGGAGCUGACGAGAGUCGCAGAUACCAGGUGGCUGCAACUGUUUAUUAAAAACACAGCACUGUGCAAAAUCGUAAGAUGACGUAUACGGUGUGACGCCUGCCCGGUGCCGGAAGGUUAAUUGAUGGGGUUAGACUUCGGUCGAAGCUCUUGAUCGAAGCCCCGGUAAACGGCGGCCGUAACUAUAACGGUCCUAAGGUAGCGAAAUUCCUUGUCGGGUAAGUUCCGACCUGCACGAAUGGCGUAAUGAUGGCCACGCUGUCUCCACCCGAGACUCAGUGAAAUUGAAAUCGCUGUGAAGAUGCAGUGUACCCGCGGCUAGACGGAAAGACCCCGUGAACCUUUACUACAGCUUGGCACUGAACAUUGACCCUACAUGUGUAGGAUAGGUGGGAGGCUUUGAAGCAGGUACGCCAGUAUCUGUGGAGCCGUCCUUGAAAUACCACCCUUGUAGUGUUGAUGUUCUAACGUCGACCCCUAAUCGGGGUUGCGGACAGUGCCUGGUGGGUAGUUUGACUGGGGCGGUCUCCUCCCAAAGAGUAACGGAGGAGCACGAAGGUGGGCUAAUCACGGUUGGACAUCGUGAGGUUAGUGCAAUGGCAUAAGCCCGCUUGACUGCGAGAAUGACAAUUCGAGCAGGUGCGAAAGCAGGUCAUAGUGAUCCGGUGGUUCUGAAUGGAAGGGCCAUCGCUCAACGGAUAAAAGGUACUCCGGGGAUAACAGGCUGAUACCGCCCAAGAGUUCAUAUCGACGGCGGUGUUUGGCACCUCGAUGUCGGCUCAUCACAUCCUGGGGCUGAAGUCGGUCCCAAGGGUAUGGCUGUUCGCCAUUUAAAGUGGUACGCGAGCUGGGUUUAGAACGUCGUGAGACAGUUCGGUCCCUAUCUGCCGUGGGCGUUGGAAGAUUGAAGGGGGCUGCUCCUAGUACGAGAGGACCGGAGUGGACGAACCUCUGGUGUUCGGGUUGUGUCGCCAGACGCAUUGCCCGGUAGCUAAGUUCGGAAUCGAUAACCGCUGAAAGCAUCUAAGCGGGAAGCGAGCCCUGAGAUGAGUCUUCCCUGAUACUUUAAGUAUCCUAAAGGGUUGUCGGAGACUACGACGUUGAUAGGUCAGGUGUGUAAGUGCUGUGAGGCAUUGAGCUAACUGAUACUAAUUGCCCGUGAGGCUUAACCAUACAACACCCAAGGGGUUU
rnacentral:rRNA from 1 species